GGCAAGCACGUGUUCGGCUGUUAUGGCUGCCAAAAGGGAAGCCGGUUCCUUCAGGUCUGAGCAUUGGUAGAGAUGAGAACUCUCUAGUGGCUGGCCGCUUUGUUUGGCUGAUCUUUAAACCUGAUAUCUGUCAGAGUUUUUCUUGUUAAGAACAAGAAAUUGUUCUUAAUGAGAGAUGGCUCAUUCGUUAAGAGCACUUGUUGAUCUUGCAGAGGACCUGGGGUUGGUUCCCAGCAUUUAUAUGUCAGUUUACAACUAUUUGUAACUCUACUUCCAAGGAAUAUAGCACCCUGUUCCAGCCUCCAUGGGCACCAGGUAUGCAUGUGGCACACACAUGUGCAUGCAAUCAAACAUUCAGGCUGAUCUCUGAGAGUUUGAGGCCGGCUUGGUCUACAGAUGGAGUUCCAGGACAGCCAGGAGUUCCAGGCUACACAGAGGAACCCUGUCACGAAAAUCAAACAAACAAGAGGCUGGAGGUGGGGCAGGAACUGAGUAUAUAUUUCUUUGAUAGAGCACUUUCUUAGCAUGUGUGAGUCCCUAGGCCCAAUUCCAAAGAAAGAAGGAGAAUCCAGAGAGAUGACUCAGCAGGUAAGGUGAUUGCCAGAAGUCUGUCUACUCAGCUCAAUUCCUGAGACCCACAUGGUGGAAGGAGGGCGCCAACUCCUGCCAGUUGUCCUCUGACUGCCACACGUGUGUCAUGGCACACAGGUAAUCAUGCAUCCACCCACAAAGAUAAAUAGAUAUAACAAAAAGAAAGUCGGGUGGUGGUGAUGCACACCUUUAAUCCCAGGACUCAGGAGGCAGAGACAGGUGGAUCUCUGUGAGUUCAAGGCCAGCCUGGUUUACAGCCUGGUUUAUGGCUAGGGCUGUUACACAGAGAAACCCUGUCUCGAAAAACAAAACAAAAUAAAUUAUUUGUUGUAUGUGUAUGGGUGUUUUGUCUGCAUGUAUGUCAUGUGCAUGCAUGGUGCCCAAGGAGGCCAGAAGAGGGCGUCAGAUCCCCUUAAACUGGAGUUGCAAACAAUUAUGAGCUGCCCUACAUGGGUGCUGAAACCAAACUCCAGAGCAGCAGUGCUCUUUUUUUUUUGUUGUUUUUUGGUUUUUCAAGACGGUUUCUCUGUGGCUUUGGAGGCUGUCAUGGAACUAGCUCUUGUAGACCAGGUCUCGAACUCACAGAGAUCCUCUGCCUCUGCCUCCCGAGAGCUGGGAUUAAAGGCGUGCUCCACCAACACCCAGCGAGCAGCAGUGCUCUUAACUGCUGAGUCAUCUCUCUAGUCCUCAAGCAGGAUACUCUUUUUUUUUUUGGCAGUUUUUUUUAUUUGAAUUAGAAACAAGAUUGCUUUACAUGACAAUCUCAGUUCCCUUCUCCCUCCCCUCCUCCCCUACCCCUGCCAACUAAAACCCUACCUACCACAUAUCCUUUCUGCUCCUGGAUGGUGAGGUGAGGCCUUCCAUAGGGUAUCAUCAGAGUCUACACUGAUAAACUUCCUUGCAGUAACUUUCCCAGUCUCCAAGCAUCUGAAGCAAUCCAUUACAGCAGCCCCACUCAAGAGACUUGGGCUUUUUCCUCAGAGAGCUUGUAGCUGCUGGCCCUGGUCUGGUCCUUCACUCAAAAAAGACUUUCCAGUACCUGUGGCUUCACCUCAGGUGAAAUCCUGCUGUCUGAACCCUGGGUCUCCCAAGGUGUGUGUCCUAAUUUUGGAGAAGCAAAUCCUGCAGGAUCUCGGGGAAUUCCAGCUUCCAGUGUUCUAGGUUCAUAAGUCCACUGUCAUUUUUAUUUUUUCUUGGUGGUUCUGUAAUUUGAAUCCAGUGUCUUUGGCAUGGUAGGCAGGCAAGCAUUUUACAACAAGCCACACUCCCAAAUCUGUCAUUUUGAUUAUUUAAAUUUUUCACUACCUGGGGGACCAGCCUCCAGCAUUGCAGGGCUCAAUGGGAAUCCAAGGAGUAGGGG
ensembl:lncRNA